AUGGACAAGUUGCUCUGGCCCUGGGGCCGCAGCCAUGGACAUGGACAUCUCUCUCUCUGUUUCUCACUCUGGAAUGACGUGAUCCAAGCCCCAGAAUCCAUGUGGCAGCACGACAUGUACUCGAAUGCCUCUGCGAGAAGCGGCGGUGGCGGGAUGGUCUCGGCUGUUGAGACCGUCACCAAGCUCUUCAUCACCAAUUUGUACUUUGGUGUUUCAACUAAGGACGUGAAGAUUGUUGAACUUAUUCCUGAGAAUACUCCGUUAGGAAAGCCAUGUGAUGAGGAUAGGCAAUGUUUUCUUUCCCCCAAGACAUUUGGUGUCUGCGUUGGAGUUUGCAAAGUCAAUGCCAUAUUCUGGAUCUUGCUCCUUAAUUGUGGCAUCUACUCGUUGCAGACCACUUGCCAGCAUUGGUAUUGUGUUUCUGCUCAUGCACUCUUUUCUUUUCUGAAACAUGUGAAGAAAGGCAUCGGAAGGGAUUGUUGCCUACCUGGCACCUCAAAUUUGAAAAGGGCAGUGUACCUACCAGGCACCGCCGAACUCUCUCUCAGGUGGCGCGCCAAUGGCGCGCCCCAGCUGCUAGUUCUCAGCAACAAUUAA
rnacentral:rRNA from 1 species